rnacentral:rRNA from 1 species
UGGGGAAUUUUGGACAAUGGGCGAAAGCCUGAUCCAGCCAUUCCGCGUGCAGGAUGAAGGCCCUCGGGUUGUAAACUGCUUUUGUACAGAACGAAAAAGCUCUGGCUAAUACCUGGAGUCCAUGACGGUACUGUAAGAAUAAGCACCGGCUAACUACGUGCCAGCAGCCGCGGUAAUACGUAGGGUGCAAGCGUUAAUCGGAAUUACUGGGCGUAAAGCGUGCGCAGGCGGUUUUGUAAGACAGAGGUGAAAUCCCCGGGCUCAACCUGGGAACUGCCUUUGUGACUGCAAGGCUGGAGUGCGGCAGAGGGGGAUGGAAUUCCGCGUGUAGCAGUGAAAUGCGUAGAUAUGCGGAGGAACACCGAUGGCGAAGGCAAUCCCCUGGGCCUGCACUGACGCU